AAAAGACUUAGUCCUAACCUUAUUAUUGGUUGUUGCUAGACAUAUACAUGCAAGUAUCCGCACUCCAGUGAAAAUGCCCUAUAAUCUUUUCUUCCAAAGUAAAAGGAGCAGGUAUCAGGCAUCACCCAAAGUAGUAGCCCAAGACGCCUUGCUAAGCCACACCCUCACGGGUAUUCAGCAGUAAUUAACAUUAAGCAAUAAGUGAAAACUUGACUUAGCCAUAGCAAUUCCAAGGGUUGGUAAAUCUUGUGCCAGCCACCGCGGUCAUACAAGAAACCCAAAUCAAUAACCAUCGGCGUAAAGAGUGGUUACAUGUUAUCCCAACCAGCUAAGACUAAAGUGCAACUAAGCUGUCAUAAGCCUAAGAUACACAUAAACUCCAACCCCAAAACCAUCUUAGCUUCAACGACCAAUUUUAACCCACGAAAGCCAGGACACAAACUGGGAUUAGAUACCCCACUAUGCCUGAGCCCUAAAUCCAGAUACCCCCCCUCAUACCCACGUAUCCGCCUGAGAACUACGAGCACAAACGCUUAAAACUCUAAGGACUUGGCGGUGCCCCAAACCCACCUAGAGGAGCCUGUUCUAUAACCGAUAAUCCACGAUCCACCCAACCACCUCUCGCCAGUACAGCCUACAUACCGCCGUCGCCAGCCCACCUCCCAUGAAAGCACAAUAGUGAGCUCAAUAGCCCUCGCUAACAAGACAGGUCAAGGUAUAGCUUAUGAGGUGGAAGAAAUGGGCUACAUUCUCUAAUAUAGAGCAUUAACGAAAAAGGACGUGAAAUCCGCCCUUAGAAGGAGGAUUUAGCAGUAAAGUAGGACCAUAUCCAAAGCCUACUUUAAGCUGGCCCUGAGGCACGUACAUACCGCCCGUCACCCUCUUCGCAAGCCACUUACACUAAUAAAUAAUACUCCAUUAACCUAACAAGGCUAAAGAUGAGGUAAGUCGUAACAAGGUAAGUGUACCGGAAGGUGCACUUAGACCAC
rnacentral:ncRNA from 1 species